rnacentral:rRNA from 1 species
GAUGAACGCUGGCGGCGUGCCUAAUACAUGCAAGUCGAGCGAACAGACGAGGAGCUUGCUCCUCUGACGUUAGCGGCGGACGGGUGAGUAACACGUGGAUAACCUACCUAUAAGACUGGGAUAACUUCGGGAAACCGGAGCUAAUACCGGAUAAUAUAUUGAACCGCAUGGUUCAAUAGUGAAAGACGGUUUUGCUGUCACUUAUAGAUGGAUCCGCGCCGCAUUAGCUAGUUGGUAAGGUAACGGCUUACCAAGGCAACGAUGCGUAGCCGACCUGAGAGGGUGAGCGCGGAAACGGGGACUGAGGGAAGGAGGAGAGUGGUAUGGGAGGCAGGAGGGGGGAAUAUGGAACAAUGGGAGAACGGGUGAUGCAGAGAAGCAGAGUGAGGGAUGACGGCGUUCGGGUUAUAAAAAUAUUUAAGUAGGGAAGAAGCGAAAGUGACGGUACCUGAAGAAGAAGCAACGGCUAACUACGUG